AUUGAACGCUGGCGGCAGGCUUAACACAUGCAAGUCGAGCGGAGAUGAGGUGCUUGCACCUUAUCUUAGCGGCGGACGGGUGAGUAAUGCUUAGGAAUCUGCCUAUUAGUGGGGGACAACAUUCCGAAAGGAAUGCUAAUACCGCAUACGCCCUACGGGGGAACGCAAGGGAUCUUCGGACCUUGCGCUAAUAGAUGAGCCUAAGUCGGAUUAGCUAGUUGGUGGGGUAAAGGCCUACCAAGGCGACGAUCUGUAGCGGGUCUGAGAGGAUGGACCGCCACACUGGGACUGAGACACGGCCCAGACUCCUACGGGAGGCAGGAGUGGGGAAUAUUGGACAAUGGGCGGAAGCCUGAUCCAGCCAUGCCGCGUGUGUGAAGAAGGCCUUUUGGUUGUAAAGCACUUUAAGCGAGGAGGAGGCUACUUAGAUUAAUACUCUAGGAUAGUGGACGUUACUCGCAGAAUAAGCACCGGCUAACUCUGUGCCAGCAGCCGCCGUAACAC
rnacentral:rRNA from 1 species